rnacentral:rRNA from 1 species
CCUACGGGUGGCAGCAGUGGGGAAUAUUGGACAAUGGGCGAAAGCCUGAUCCAGCCAUGCCGCGUGUGUGAAGAAGGCCUUCGGGUUGUAAAGCACUUUCAGUGGGGAAGAAAGCCUUGGGGCUAAUACCCUCGAGGAAGGACAUCACCCACAGAAGAAGCACCGGCUAACUCCGUGCCAGCAGCCGCGGUAAUACGGAGGGUGCGAGCGUUAAUCGGAAUUACUGGGCGUAAAGCGCGCGUAGGCGGUCUGAUAAGCCGGUUGUGAAAGCCCCGGGCUCAACCUGGGAACGGCAUCCGGAACUGUCAGGCUAGAGUGCAGGAGAGGAAGGUAGAAUUCCCGGUGUAGCGGUGAAAUGCGUAGAGAUCGGGAGGAAUACCAGUGGCGAAGGCGGCCUUCUGGACUGACACUGACGCUGAGGUGCGAAAGCGUGGGUAGCAAACAGGAUUAGAUACCCCGUAGUC